rnacentral:rRNA from 1 species
GACGAACGCUGGCGGCGUGCUUAACACAUGCAAGUCGAACGGAAAGGCCCUGCUUUUGUGGGGUGCUCGAGUGGCGAACGGGUGAGUAACACGUGAGUAACCUGCCCUUGACUUUGGGAUAACUUCAGGAAACUGGGGCUAAUACCGGAUAGGAGCUCCUGCUGCAUGGUGGGGGUUGGAAAGUUUCGGCGGUUGGGGAUGGACUCGCGGCUUAUCAGCUUGUUGGUGGGGUAGUGGCUUACCAAGGCUUUGACGGGUAGCCGGCCUGAGAGGGUGACCGGCCACAUUGGGACUGAGGUACGGCCCAGACUCCUACGGGAGGCAGAAGGGGGGAAUAUUGCACAAUGGGCGGAAGCCUGAUGCAGCAACGCCGCGUGCGGGAUGACGGCCUUCGGGUUGUAAACCGCUUUCGCCUGUGACGAAGCGUGAGUGACGGUAAUGGGUAAAGAAGCACCGGCUAACUACGUG